CCUACGGGUGGCAGCAGUGGGGAAUAUUGGACAAUGGGGGCAACCCUGAUCCAGCCAUGCCGCGUGUGUGAAGAAGGCCCUCGGGUUGUAAAGCACUUUCAGUGAGGAAGAACGCCUGGUGGUUAAUACCCAUCAGGAAAGACAUCACUCACAGAAGAAGCACCGGCUAACUCCGUGCCAGCAGCCGCGGUAAUACGGAGGGUGCGAGCGUUUAUCGGAAUUACUGGGCGUAAAGCGCGCGUAGGUGGCUUGAUAAGCCGGUUGUGAAAGCCCCGGGCUCAACCUGGGAACGGCAUCCGGAACUGUCAAGCUAGAGUGCAGGAGAGGAAGGUAGAAUUCCCGGUGUAGCGGUGAAAUGCGUAGAGAUCGGGAGGAAUACCAGUGGCGAAGGCGGCCUUCUGGACUGACACUGACACUGAGGUGCGAAAGCGUGGGUAGCAAACAGGAUUAGAUACCCUUGUAGUC
rnacentral:rRNA from 1 species